GACGAACGCUGGCGGCGUGCCUAAUACAUGCAAGUAGAACGCUGAAGGAGGAGCUUGCUUCUCUGGAUGAGUUGCGAACGGGUGAGUAACGCGUAGGAAACCUGCCUGGUAGCGGGGGAUAACUAUUGGAAACGAUAGCUAAUACCGCAUAAUAGCAGUUGUUGCAUGACAACUGUUUGAAAGGUGCAAAUGCAUCACUACCAGAUGGACCUGCGUUGUAUUAGCUAGUUGGUGGGGUAAAGGCUCACCAAGGCGACGAUACAUAGCCGACCUGAGAGGGUGAUCGGCCACACUGGGACUGAGACACGGCCCAGACUCCUACGGGAGGCAGCAGUAGGGAAUCUUCGGCAAUGGACGGAAGUCUGACCGAGCAACGCCGCGUGAGUGAAGAAGGUUUUCGGAUCGUAAAGCUCUGUUGUAAGAGAAGAACGAGUGUGAGAGUGGAAAGUUCACACUGUGACGGUAUCUUACCAGAAAGGGACGGCUAACUACGUG
rnacentral:rRNA from 1 species